CCUCCCUCACGCAGCACGCCUGCGUGGUGUUGGGGCGUUCUGCGGUGCCAGGCCUGCUUUUCCAGCAGGCCGCCGCAGCCCCCGAAAGCCAGUGGCGGGCCGGCAGCGGGCUCCGAGCGCAGUAAGCAGCAGUGCCCUCGCUCUGGACGCCCCCGCCUGCGCCCUGCCUCCAGACCGGCAGACGCAAGUCUCCUUUCCUUCAAGG
rnacentral:misc_RNA from 1 species